UGGAUCCCUGAUCCACUGAGCAAAGCAGGGAUCAAACCCGCAUCCUAAUGGAUACUAGUUGGAUGUGUUUCCACCGUGCUACAAUGGGAACUCCUGGCCAUUCCUUUUUUAGAGGCUUCUUAUAGGUGAGAAAAGGCUAUCAUUUCUGUCCCAAGUACACUUACCGUCUGGCUGAGACAGCAGGGUAGCCAUUGGCAUCUGGCAACAAACUUCUACCAAUCUGUUCUCCCCUUCCCCUCAUCUUUUAGUGACUGGUAUUUCAUCCAUUUGGGCUUUCCUAACAAAGAGGAACAAUUCCUGGCCCUCAUUAAAAAGCCCAGUCAGUGUGAUGUGUGCUUGUCAAGGUAAACAUUUAUCCUCAAACCUCCUCUCUGGGUCUCAGGGGGCUCUUAAUCAUCAAAGAGAUUCAGGUUGCAGAAAUAUUUGCUCUUGGUGCAUUUUCAGAAGGUGGGAUAAUUCCAUGGGCUGCAAAUGAAGAUAAGAAGUGGGUUGCAGACUGGGCAGCAGUUGCUAGUAGAUAAGAACAUGUUAUUCCAUGCCAGAGGUUAAUGGGAAUUAUCAGUGUGGUGGUGAUUUUUCCAGUUGUUUGUCCUCAUUUUGACAGAAGACAUGGCCUGAGACAAACACAGGAUCUUAUUUCCAAGAACACCUGUCGCUCAUGGAUCAAAUGAUGCAGUCAAUCAGACACAUAUAAAAGCAUCUACUGAGUAUCCAGGUCUCCUCCCUCUCCAUGGCUGAUGUCUGCAUGUGAGUCCAAAUGCAGGGAAGCCCACUCCCUGCAAUUUUAAAUGAUUUGGAUCCAGUGACUAAAUGACUAACAUUAGUUUUCAGAUAAUUUUUUUCCUUCUGCUUAUCUGAAUAGCUAAAAAUGGGUUUUAUUAUUUUAAAAAUGAGAAUAUUUAGGGGAUCAGUUUAUAACAUGACAGGUACCAUUCACCAGCCAAGAGAAAGCAAUUUACCAUAAUGAAGUUAUUUCACCUGGAAGAAAGAAGGGGCUUCUUGAAAAAAUAAAGACUUCUUGGCUCUGUUAAGAAGGCAUUGUGGAGUUGUUAUCUACUGUAAUAAUAUCAUAUCCCACUUAGUGGGUGCUUACCAUGAGCCAAACAUUGAACUAAUUUUGUAUGCAUGCUUGCUCCUAUUUAAUCCCUAUGGAAAAUUCCUGAGGCAGGUACACAUCUGCAUUUGAUGGGUAAGGAUACUGACUUAGGGUGAUGAAGUACCUUGCCUGAGGUCACUGCUAAGGAGAAACUGAACUAGGUCUUUCUGCUUCCACACUUGUGUUUUUCCUGCCUUCCCAUAAAGCAACAGAUUUUGUUCUUCAAACAGUGCCAAAAAAUAUUUUUCCAGUUUUUGCAUUUUCAGUCCUUCUCAUUUUUCCAAGACUUGCCAGAGAUCUUAAAUAUAAGGGUCCUUAACAAAAAUGGGCCCUUGCUGAAAAGGCUGUUGAGUCCAUGCAUCCCUCCUGCCUCCUAACCCAGCGCUCUUUCAGUUUCAACACUCUCUUUCUGGAGGCUGGUGACAGGAAGUCAAGCAAUGGCAAGCCAUUUUCAUAAGUCCUUUCUUCAUUUACCCCCACUUUUCCUUCCCUUCCACAGUCCCUCCUCUUUUGUCGCUCUACUCAUUUUCAGGGAGUGUGUCCCUCCUUGACAUUUUAUUGAAUAUUUAUUUGCUCUCUGUUUAUUCUGUUUCCCCAUAAUAGAACACCUGCCUUAGGAGAAGAGAGACUUUGCUUCACUCUCUGUGUCCUCUGGACCUAGAAGAGUGUCUGAGCCUAGCGAGCCCCUAAUAAAUAUCUGGGGGAUGAAUGAAUGAGGACAUAGACCUAGUUAGUUGAUCUCAUUUCCUUGGCUCACUGGUGCGUGAAACUUAGCAAAACCCCUUCUCCUUCACAUACUAUAUAUGAAGAACUUGGACACUUUUUUAAUGUACUCUAGAGCAGUUUUUUUUUUCUUUAUAAAAUGAUUUAAUACAUCAUUAAUAUAGUAAUGUUUUAUAUUCAGGACACAUCUGUCCACAAGCUCCAUCCUUUUGAAAGCAUUAGCCAAUUUGAAAUUAAAUACAUUUCAGCAAUAUUGCUCUAAUUUAUCAUGCCACAUCAUAGAACUUGAAAACAUUUGAUGUUUCUCCUCUGCCCUAUCAAUAUGAAAAAAAAAACAGAAUAAAAACAAAAAACCCAAACAAACAAAAACUGUUCUAUUUAACUGUUUCAGCUUUUUGUAAAACCUUUCAAAUAUUCAUUAAAUCUAGACAGAAUAUGUACAUGCUAUUUGAUGUUAAUAGUUCCAGAUUUUCCAACUCUGAAAAAUGUAGAGAAAACUUAAGCUUUCAUGAGGUUUUGUUGUCUUUGGGGAAAGAAAGGAAAGAGAGUACCUAUAUUCUGAGACACAUAUCUGGCUUUGGGUAUUCCCCAUACAUUGUAGAGUGUGUAACUUUUGGAAUUCAGGCUACAUUACAAACUUUCCUAGGAAUUAAUAUUUAUAAAAGUGUGAGUGUCAAAUGAUGGGAGCUGGAAACUGGAGGAAAAGCUAGGAUGAAAAUAUUUUAUGCUUCUCAUAAGUAAUCUAGGGAAUGAUCUUUCUUGUGCUUGGAUAAGGAGAAAAGCAUUCUCAUUUCAUAAUGCAACUGCAUAAAAAGUGAUCUUCCUUGCAUAUGGAAAUGACUUAAUCUGAAAGGGUAUUUUCUCAGCCAAGGUUAUCAGCUUUUCUUGCUUUUACUUCAGCACUACUAAAGGCUCCUUUUCUUUCUUUUCUCACCUCCCCACAGUGAGCUAUUGCCAUGUAAUUUCUUCUGAAAGAUCCAAAUUCACAUUGACUCCUUUUACUUUAAAGUGUUUACUUAACGGAGAAUGAUCAAUGUUGAGCCAAAUAGGGAAGAAAUCAUCUGUAUAGUUACAUUUCUUUAUAUCUCUCAGCACAUGUUCGCCCAUUUUAAAUGCUAACAUGGCAACUAUGUUGGAUAAGCAUUCUGGGGUGUCCAUGUGUUCAUUAUUCUGCAACACAAAGUGUAGAUACUCAAUCCUUGAAAAUUGCUUUCUGAGAUUGGAUCCUGUACCAAGUCUCCUGACUCAUAUUUAUCUUUAAUAAAAAGAUAUUACGGGAGGAAUAUGCUUGUUCUUGCUGGAUCAACUCUUUACUAUAAAAGUGAGUUAAGAUAUAUCGACAUUUAUUCUUUUGAGAAAAGCUGCUCUUGUAUGUGUGUGUAAUGUGUAGCUAUUUACCAACAUUUACCAGAUUACCUUUUUUAGAAAAAGUAAGGCUCCCUUAUUAAAAAAAAAAAAAAAAAAAGACUCAAGGG